rnacentral:rRNA from 1 species
UACUCGAGUGGCGAACGGGUGAGUAACACGUGGGUGAUCUGCCCUGCACUUCGGGAUAAGCCUGGGAAACUGGGUCUAAUACCGGAUAGGAGCCAUUUUUAGUGUGAUGGUUGGAAAGUUUUUUCGGUGUAGGAUGUGCUCGCGGCCUAUCAGCUUGUUGGUGGGGUAAUGGCCUACCAAGGCGGCGACGGGUAGCCGGCCUGAGAGGGUGGACGGCCACAUUGGGACUGAGAUACGGCCCAG